AACGAACGCUGGCGGCGCGCCUAAUACAUGCAAGUCGAACGAGAAGCUGUAGCAAUACAGUUGUACAGUGGCGAACGGGUGAGGAAUACAUGGGUGACCUACCCUCGAGUGGGGAAUAACCAGCCGAAAGGUUGGCUAAUACCGCGUACGCUUCCCAGUCUACGGGUUGGGAAGGAAAGCGAUGCCGUGGGUAUCGCGCUCAAGGUUGGGCUCAUGUCCUAUCAGCUGUUGGUGGGGUAACGGCUCACCAAGGCAACGACGGGUAGCUGGUCUGAGAGGACGAUCAGCCACACUGGCACUGCGACACGGGCCAGACUCCUACGGGAGGCAGCAGUAAGGAAUAUUGCGCAAUGGGCGAAAGCCUGACGCAGCGACGCCGCGUGGGGGAUGAAGGUCUUCGGAUUGUAAACCCCUUUCGGGAGGGAAGAUGGAACGAGCAAUCGUUCGGACGGUACCUCCAGAA
rnacentral:rRNA from 1 species